rnacentral:lncRNA from 1 species
UUUAUCCUCUACUUGAUUACUGCUUGUGUUUUUUGUUGUUUUGUUUUUGCAUCCCUAACACAAAGGAUUAUAUAUCUCGUUCUCAUUCACAGAGAGCGUGUGAGGACAAUGGCCAAGCAUUGCUGUGCCAUGUUUGAAGAACCACCAGCACCUGACUGAAGCCAGAAGUGAAGUUUCUGACCUACUGUAGAGAAGAAUAGGCAAACGUUACAUUUCCAGUACAGCCUGUGAAGAUGGACUGCACAGCCUAUGAAAGGAAAAAGCUGAUUCCUUAUUCACUGGAGAGCCAUCUAUAUUUUGCUGCAAGCGCCCAUCUGCCCAGGUACAUGCAAUAUCUGGUCCACCCAGUUACAGUCAGUGCACGCC